rnacentral:ncRNA from 1 species
GGAAAUGCUAUGAGGAGAAUAGUAAGUUUUUGAAAGCUUUCAGAGAGAGAUUUCCUUGGGUGUAAGAAAUCUUAAGAAAUAGAAAACUGAAUUGCAUCUCUGAGCACUGCUCCGAAACUUUUAGUAGGAAGCAGCUGGAAAGCAAGUUACAGCUUUGAGGUAUGGUAGUACCAAUAAUUGAUGAGUUAUUAGUCAUAUUUUUGACUGAUAAACAGAGUGGAACCGCGGAAUUUACUUCUGCCUCUGUA